UAACAAGGUCUCCGUUGGUGAACCAGCGGAGGGAUCAUUACCGAGUUAUACAACUCCCAAACCCACUGUGAACCUUACCCCAGUUGCCUCGGCGGGAACGCCCCGGCCGCCGGCCCCCGCGCCGGCGCCGGGCCCAGGCGCCCGCCGCAGGGACCCCAAACUCUCUUGCAUUACGCCCCCCCGGGCGGGAUUUUGUUUCUCUGAGUGCACAAGCAAAACAAAUGAAUCAAAACUUUCAACAACGGAUCUCUUGGUUCUGGCAUCGAUGAAGAACGCAGCGAAAUGCGAUAAGUAAUGUGAAUUGCAGAAUUCAGUGAAUCAUCGAAUCUUUGAACGCACAUUGCGCCCGCCAGCAUUCUGGCGGGCAUGCCUGUUCGAGCGUCAUUUCAACCCUCGAGCCCCCCCGGGGGCCUCGGUGUUGGGGGACGGCACACCAGCCGCCCCCGAAAUGCAGUGGCGACCCCGCCGCAGCUCUCCCCUGCGUAGUAGCACACACCUCGCACCGGAGCGCGGAGGCGGUCACGCCGUUAAACGCCCAACUUUCCAAGAGUUGACCUCGGAUCAGGUAGGAAUACCCGCUGAACUUAAGCAUAUCAAUAG
rnacentral:rRNA from 1 species